GCUGUCAGUCUGCUGUUACCCGAGGGGUGCUGCAGUCACAAGGAGGUGUGCCAAGUGCAUGCAACCCAACGACUCUCAAGUUGCAGCUAAAACAACAACAAUCAUUUAUCAUCCAUUUAGGGGUGCAGCAUCAUGCAUUAGGUGCAUUGGUAGGUUCCCUAAUUCCUAGCCAAAACCAGUACUGCAGAUCAGAAGUGAUGUAAACAGACCGAGGUGCAACCAUGUCCAACAACACACAACUGAACAUAAGGGGGCAGAGACGUAAAAACGAAAGAGACUAUAUGACUAAUCUGCGGCACACUGGAAAUACAGUGUAAAGCCAAACAUGCCAGAAAAUCAGUGUGGGUGACGUACAAAGACUUCAGUUGAGGAAGACAGUGAGGUCUCUCAGUAUGCUGAGACUGGCAAAUGAGGAAUGACUAUCAGACAGACCAAACAUCCCAACUGUAUAAUUUAAUGAGACAAGACCAUGUUACCUUCACGAAGUGACUGUAGUCAUUUGGGUGAACCAUUUUUACGUAAGGCACAAGGCUGGGAAUUCCUUUUUUAGUGAAGUGGAAUCUAGAAGGGAUUUGGUACCGGAGACACAGUACCUCAAUUAACUGUCUAAAACCCACUGCAUUAAUGGCGAAUACUAGACGCACAUCUAAUUCCAGCAUAUUUGUUAUGGCAUCAGUAAUCCGCUGUGCUACUGGGUGACUGCUGUCAUACUUGCUCCCCCUUGUAAAGGAUUGUUUAAUAGUCAGCUGAUUUGUUAAAUUACUACGAGUAGUCUUCCUGGUCCCCUUCUGGACAGCAGCAGUAGCAGGCAUAGCACUCAAGGAUACGUCUAAGGAAGCCUGGAUAGGAGAGGAGUUAGUCAUAAAAUUGGAUGCAGGACUACUUCUGAUCUUGACUGUGGAUGUUGAUGAUGCAGGUGUUGGUGGUGGAGAUUGCAGGCCCUUGGAUCUAACAGAGAGAAGGGAGCAGCAAGGUGACGCUGGACUGGCUGUUUUGUUUUUACAAUUACUUUUGAUGAAUGCACUGCAAGUGAUGUACAAGGGAGGUUGUUCCUAGGUGGUUAAGGUCCUUUUUUUUAUUUUUUUUAUAAUUCUACUUAUUCAAGAUUUUGUUAGAUACAUACAGAUACAGAAAAAUACAAAAAGUGUAUCACAGUCAUAAUAAAAUAUCCAUGAACAUAAGGGUUACACAGCAAAUCCAUGUGAGUAGAAGCAAGUACUGUAGAAGCCAUUCAAAUUUGCUGAUAUUAUCCUGUGUGCACAACAUUAAACAUAUCAAACAGGUAAGUAUAACAGUUAAAACAAUUAUAACAAUUAUCCUGACAUAUAUUGAAAUAAAAAAAAGGACACUAGACAGAAGGCAAGAAGGAAGGAGGGGGGGGGGAUAGAAUGAGGGGGAGGAGAUUUUCCGGCAAAUCCACCAAGCUAUUGCAAAUAUAUAAAUUUGUAUAUAUCACAUAAUAUAUAAAGUUCACAAGUAUGAAAUAAAGGAAAGUUAUGUAAUAUAAAGUCAGUUAAAUACUGUUGAUAUAUGCAAUUUUGUAUGGUU